ACUCCAGACUCCUACGGGAGGCAGCAGUGAGGAAUAUUGGUCAAUGGGCUUACGCCUGAACCAGCCAAGUCGCGUGAGGGAAGACUGCCCUAUGGGUUGUAAACCUCUUUUGUCAGGGAGCAAUUGGCGCUACGUGUAGCGUUAUCGAGAGUACCUGAAGAAAAAGCAUCGGCUAACUCCGUGCCAGCAGCCGCGGUAAUACGGAGGAUGCGAGCGCUAUCCGGAUUUAUUGGGUUUAAAGGGUGCGUAGGCGGAAUGCCAAGUCAGCGGUAAAAUCGCGGGGCUCAACCUCGCUCCGCCGUUGAAACUGGCGUUCUUGAGUGGGCGAGAAGUAUGCGGAAUGCGUGGUGUAGCGGUGAAAUGCAUAGAUAUCACGCAGAACUCCGAUUGCGAAGGCAGCAUGCCGGCGCCCAACUGACGCUGAAGCACGAAAGCGUGGGUAUCGAACAGGAUUAGAUCCCCGUGUAGA
rnacentral:rRNA from 1 species